GCCUGUGGCACAGGGACGGUGUGGGGGGGAGGGUCGGGCUGCGCCCCAGACCCCAAAUGCGCAGGAGGACACGAUCCUUCCCCCUAAGAUGUCCGUGUCCGACUUCCAAGGUGCAGAGACCCAGGCAGCCCCCCUGGGGAAACUGCCACCAGCUGUGGCCCCGCUGAGUCCUCCCGGGCUUUCGGGGAGGGGUCCCAGGGCACAGACCAGAGGCUGACAGAUACGCUCACUCAGGGGCGAAGUCUCGGGUCUGGCCCUGCUGCAGGAAAUGCCUGUCACUGCACGGUGGGUGUGGGGGUCCCCACUACCUGUUUCCUAAGGGCCAUCAGCCAGGAGGGGCACUGUACCUCUGCACCAGGCCUGCACCUCCCAGGCCACAGCCCCAGCUUCUAGAAGUGGCCCAGGGCUUCCUCUCCACAGUAGGCCCUGAGCACCCACUUCCCAAAGCACGCACACCCCAGGGGCGAUGGCCAGCUCGCCAGGUGUGAGUGAGCACGCCCAGCCAACAACUGCAGUUUUCAAAAGGAUGUAUCUGGCCAGGUGUGGUCGCUCACGCCUGUAAUCCCAGCACUUGAGGAGGGUGAGGUGGGAGGAUGGCUGGAGCCCAGUUCGUGACCAGCCCAAGCAAGACACUCUCCCUACAAAAAUACAAACAUAAGCCGGCAGUGGUGGCGCCUGUAGUCCCUGCUAGGGUGUGACGCAGGAGGGUCCCUUGAGCCCAGGAGGUCGAGGCUGCAGUGAGCUGUGACUGCACCACUGCACUCCAGCCUGGGCCACGGAGACCCUGUUGAUAAAUCUGGUGACCUCAGCCAGGGGACAGCAGAGGCUGUGUGGACCUCGGAAAGAACAGACAGUGAGUGCAUCGGCCACAGGACUGUCUCCCAGCCCCUUCUGGAACUUUCCAGGCCUGUUUUCCUCCAGAGCUGGAUGGCCCCAGGAAGGGAACAGCCACAUGAGGGCAGGAGCCAUCGUUAGGGCUGUCCCUGUCACGCUGGAGCCCAGGCCCUGCAGCAGGGGACCUCGAGGUCCACCCAUGGGUGCACCACAGCUGCCCUAGCCAUGCCGGAGCCUUCAUGGGCUCAUCUCGGACACUGGCACCUGAACCGGCAGGUUUUCUGCAGCUAACUCGGAGGCUGCUCUCCUGGGCACCAAGGAGCCUGUCUGUGUUCCCAGCAGGGCCACCAGGUGUCACUGCUCUCCCAAGCCCGCCCGUGGGCCCCUGAGCUCUGUUACCUGCAGCGAACUCCUCGAUGGUCAUCAGUGGAAAGCGGAUGAGGCCCAAGGCCUUGCCCAGAACCUUCCGCCGGUUCUCGGGCGUCACCUGCAGCUGCUGCCGCUGACACUCGGCCUCAGACCAGCGGACAACGGCGUUGAACAGCCGCACUUCACGGAUGCCCAGAGUGUCGCGCUCCAGGACGGCCACCAGCGUGUCUGCGGGGUGGGGAAGGGGCUGUGUGAACAGGACGCGCGCGUGCCCACCCUGCAGGAGGCAGGGAGACUGACAAGAACCAGCAGUUGCAGCUGCACCGGCAACUGCGGCCUAUGGCCCAAACCCGGCCCUGUAAUUGUAUGUGUAAAUAAAGCUUUAUCGACACAUGACCACA